UACAGAGGUCUCAAGCGUUGUUCGGAUUCAUUGGGCGUAAAGGGUGCGUAGGCGGCGCGGUAAGUCGGGUGUGAAAUCUCGGAGCUUCACUCCGAAACUGCAUUCGAUACUGCCGUGCUUGAGGACUGGAGAGGAGACUGGAAUUUACGGUGUAGCGGUGAAAUGCGUAGAUAUCGUAAGGAAGACCAGUGGCGAAGGCGGGUCUCUGGACAGUUCCUGACGCUGAUGCACGAAGGCCAGGGGAGCAAACGGG
rnacentral:rRNA from 1 species